CCCUUAGAUGUUCUGGGCCGCACGCGCGCGACACUGAUGCAUUCAACGAGCCUAUCCUUGACCGACAGGUCCGGGUAAUCUUUGAAUCUGCAUCGUGACGGGGAUAGAUUAUUGCAAUUAUUAAUCUUCAACGAGGAAUGCCUAGUAGGCGCAAGUCAUCAGCUUGCGUCGAUUACGUCCCUGCCCUUUGUACACACCGCCCGUCGCUCCUACCGAUUGGGUGUGCUGGUGAAAUGUUCGGAUCGGCCGUUUGUCGCGGUUUCCGCGUCAUGUGGCUGAGAAGUUCAUUAAACCCUCCCACCUAGAGGAAGGAGAAGUCGUAACA
rnacentral:rRNA from 1 species